GUUAUAUCAACCCAAAUAACCCAGAAUAGCUCUAUCGCCUUCUACCAAUACUUAUAGGGGGUCAUCCCAUGUGAUGGGCCCACAAAAUCGAUUUUUUUGCUUAAAUUGCUUUCUUAACAUGUCUAGGAUACAGUAGUGAAUUGAUUUUUGAAAAUUCGAAGUCGUUUUAAAGAUACAGCAGGUAGAAGAAAGAGCUGUUCGGAGCGCUGAGUUAGCAGUUGGGGUCGGGGCCUAUUAUGUACCGUCGACUUUAUAUCUGGCCCCCCUUUUAUACAUAUAUACAUUUAUACAAGUUUAGACAAGUUUCUACAGGCUUAUACAGAAAUUUCAAGAGGAACGGGUACUCUAUGGACCAGGCAUCGCCGUAUGAGGAUAAGCCAAUUAGCCGGAAUCGUGGAGGAAGUGCGAGCUCAUUUUUUCGAGGCGGGGAUGUUCAGAACGUUGUAACUCAAGUCCCACACAUUAUUUUUAGCUUAAAAUUUAAAUUUAUACUGUCGAAAUAUAUGUUAAGAAAUGAUAAUAAACUUAAAGCUCUAUC